rnacentral:lncRNA from 1 species
UCUUAUAUAUUUGAAUACAUGGAAGGUUUUUAUAUAAAGUUCUGACUAAAAAAUAAUUACAAUAUCUUGGAUCACAUAUCUAAAAUUGAUUUCAUAGAUAGACAUAAGAUUUAGAAAGUAGACUCAUCUCGAAAACUAAUUAUAUAUACCUUGGAUAAGGAUAUAUUCAAAUAUACUUGUUAUAGAUCAUGGAUAUAUCUUAAUAAUAGACUCUUGAAAUUUAAUUUAAUGCUAUAACAGAAAGCAGUUAAACUUCUAGUUGA